rnacentral:tRNA from 1 species
AUGCUCACCACUAUACCACCAACGCCUCCCGCCGAGGCCGGCCUGGCCACGCGCCGCCCGGCUUGCCCGGAGCGCCCCGCCGCCCCCGUGCCCCGACGGCGCGCCUCGCCCGCACUUCCCCGCUGCCACCCCAAGGCCGCCCGGCGCCCCGCCGGCCAAGCCCAGCACGCCUGCCCGAUCCACGCGCGCGCCCUCGCGCAUCCACACGCACGCCAGCCGCUUCUCCGUCUGCGCACGCGCCCGCCUCCGCCCAGCGCCUCCCGGUCUCCUUACUCCUGGGAACCGGCCUCCGGAUCCAGCGGAGCCCCGGCGGCGCGCGCGUCCGUGUCCGCGUCCGCCCUCAGCUGGCUCGUCCAAGCUCUUGUGCACCAGAGGUCCGACGGCCAGGCGACCGACCGCACCCGCAGGCUCGCUCCCCGGCUCGUCCGCGCCCCCUCACCCAGCGCACCUAGCGCACCCAGCGCACCUAGCGCACCUAGCGCACCAAGCCCUGUCGGUCGGUGGCGACCGACCGUGGGCGAGCGAAAACUCCUCGCGCGCGCCGCACCGCGCCGCGCCCUGUGCGCCCAACACGGGUGCGUGUCCGGGGCCCGCAGGCCACAUGGUCCCUGGUGCUCCGCGUGCGGGGGCCGGCGUGCGGGGCCUGGCCAAAAAGGGCGGCUUGCCUCCCCGUCGGGGAAUCGAACCCCGGUCUCCCGCGUGACAGGCGGGGAUACUCACCACUAUACUAACGAGGACGGCGGCGGCCACCCUCGGGUCCCCUCGACCCCUCUGCGCCCGCCCGCCCGCCCGCACCCGACCCCUGCCCUCCACCGCCCACACACCGGCUCCAGGGCCAACCGCCACCCGUCCCCAGUCCCCAGUCCCCGGUCCCCGCAACCUAGUGCCUUCGCCCCACGUGGACUCCCCGGCCCGGGACCACAACAUGCUAGCUUCCAGGAGCAUAGAGCCAACCAACCGGAGGACCCAGGGGAAGCCAGGGAGGAGGAUGAAGAUGAGGAAGAGCAGCAGCAGCAGCAGCAGCAGCAAGAGGAGAGGGGAGAAGAGCCAGCGGAGGGGCACAGCGAGGAAGAGGAGGAAGAGCACCCCCAGGAAAACCCAGAGGGAGAGGAGGAGGAGGAGGAAGACCACGACGACCCGCUGGGCGGGGCACAACGGGGGCGGGGGGUAGCGCUGCGAACUGGAAGGAGCGGGCGGCCCGUCUGGGAUGCGUCCCGGGGUGCUGCCGGGUGCCCCGUGCGGCCUCCAGAACCGGGCAGCGGCGCCCUGCAAGCCCCGGGAACCGCGCGGAGCUGCCCCGGGAACCGCGCGCCCCGCGCGCCCCGCGCGCCCGGCGGCCUGCGCCCUGGCCCCGCAGCCCAGGGCCCAGGCGGCGCGACGGACCAAGGCCGCAGUCCCUGGCGCGCUCCCCCAGCCAAGGGAACGGCCGCGCCACCCGGCCCGCCGUCAGGAUGGCCGAGCGGUCUAAGGCGCUGCGUUCAGGUCGCAGUCUCCCCUGGAGGCGUGGGUUCGAAUCCCACUCCUGACAAGCACGCCUUUUUGGCACGCCCGGGCCAGCCUCGCGCCCGUCGUGCAACACGCCGCUCGCCGCUCCGCCUCUCCAGCCGUCGCGAGCGAGACCCCGCCUUGCCGGCCCACACGUGGCACUCGCCACAGGGACCACGCUCCAACUGGCCAGCGCGCAGGCACUCCCGCCCACCUCUCCCCACCACACCGCUUCUCGGGACCCACCUGCCUCCGAGUCUUCCUGGCUCCUCCGCUCCUCUGCCGCCACCCUCUGCCGCUACCUUCCGCACAUUCACGGCCCUCCGCCUCCCAGCCCCAGUCCCCAGAUCUCCUCCACCUCUCCCCGCCACCUGCCAGCCCCAGAGCGCUGAACCGACGGGCGGCCCGCCCAGAGUCCUCCCGAGCGUCCCCUAA